GCCCAGGCUGGGGUGCAGUGGCUAUUCACAGGUGCGAUCCCACUACUGAUCAGCAUGGGAGUUUUGACCUGCUCCAUUUCCGACCUGGGCCGGUUCACCCUCAGGCAACCUGAUGGUCCCCCGAUCCCGGGAGAGAUCUGAAGAGCAG